rnacentral:miRNA from 1 species
UUGAACGACCUCACCAUGUCG